GAUGAACGCUGGCGGCGUGCCUAAUACAUGCAAGUCGAGCGAACGGACGAGAAGCUUGCUUCUCUGAUGUUAGCGGCGGACGGGUGAGUAACACGUGGAUAACCUACCUAUAAGACUGGGAUAACUUCGGGAAACCGGAGCUAAUACCGGAUAAUAUUUUGAACCGCAUGGUUCAAAAGUGAAAGACGGUCUUGCUGUCACUUAUAGAUGGAUCCGCGCUGCAUUAGCUAGUUGGUAAGGUAACGGCUUACCAAGGCAACGAUGCAUAGCCGACGUGAGAGGGUGAUCGGCCACACUGGAACGGAGACACGGUCCAGACGCCUACGGGAGGCAGCAGUAGGGAAUCUUCCGCAAUGGGCGAAAGCCUGACGGAGCAACGCCGCGUGAGUGAUGAAGGUCUUCGGAUCGUAAAACUCUGUUAUUAGGGAAGAACAUAUGUGUAAGUAACUGUGCACAUCUUGACGGUACCUAAUCAGAAAGCCACGGCUAACUACGUG
rnacentral:rRNA from 1 species